CUCAAGCGGUUUGUCAAACCUAAGAGCUAAAUAAAUCACACAAGCUGUUUAUUAAACCAACUUUAGUAUUUUUCCAUACACUUCGAUGAAAAAUAAAUUUCAACUUAAAUAUCGAUAUUGCGGGUAAAGUAUCGAUGUCUUCGAUAUAUCGACCUUAGAAUAUCGAUUCAAAAAACCGAUUAUCGUGCGAUGAAACAUCGAUAUUCAGAAAAAUCGAUACGAUAUUGAACAUUCCUAGUUCUACUUCAGUUUGGUUCUUCUUCAGUUUUAUUCUGUUGUUCUUUUGCCUGUCGUGCAGCAUUCGUUCGCAUGACAAAACCUUUCGUCAGUGUAGCAGUUGAUUUGUUAUACGUGUGAAGGGAAGAUACAGUGCUUGAAAUAAGAGCUAAUGGCUGGCAGUGCUUGUGCAGCUGUUAGCGCAAAAUGAAGGAAGGGGACGAUGAUGGUGCCAAACGAAGCGAUGAUAUAAGGAAUGAAAGAGACGCUAACACUAUAAAAGUUGCUUUCGAAAAUAUUGAGUUUCAUAAAGACAGCGGCGCGAAAAACAACAAAAUAACUAAGUGCAUUUGAUUCUUCAUUUGUAAAGGCAUGAGACCCUUUCAUGUCGUGGAAGGAGAAGGGUUUCUAAAACUGAUGAAAGAGGUAGCCCCUCUGAACACAGUGCCAUCUAGCGAUAUUUUAAAGAAAAAACUUUGCGAAAAAUAUUUCAUCUCGGCGGAAAUGUUCAAACAAAGGAUUCAAAAGCCACCUACUGUAUGCCUAACUUUAGAUAUUUGGGCGGAAACCAUGGCAGAACGGUCAUUUCUUGGUGUAACCGUUCAUUUUUUUUUUAGAAAACAGUACAUUUGUAACUUGUGCUAUUGGUACUAGACAGUUAUCUCAGCGUCACACGGCCGAUUAUAUAAAUGAAACUUUUAAAACAAUUCUUAAUGAAUGGGACAUAGAAAUUUCCAAAGUCAGAUGCAUUGUAACAGACAAUGGCCAAAAUAUGGUCGCAGCUGUAAGAAUGGUUGCCUCACAAAAGCACCAUCUACCCUGCUUUCCUCAUACUAUUAAUCUCGUAGUUCAGGCUGGUUUAAAAAAUCCUUCAAUCGAGAGUGUGCUCAACAAAGUUAGAAAAGUAGUUAUAUGGGUAAAAAAUAGUGUAGUCAACUCUGACAAACUACGCAAAAUCCAGAUAGAACAAGGUAUUCCUGAAGGAUGCGUAAAAAAAUUGAUACUCGAUGUAUGCACGCGCUGGAACUCGGUAUUUUACAUGGUGGAACGCUUUUAGAGAUGCAAAAAGUUGUUUGGAAUUACUGCUAGAGAGCUCUAUAAGUCCAAAUAUGGCAACUGGUCAGGAAAUAGAAAUUUUGAAACAAUUAAUUAUCUCCUACAGCCGUUUGAAUAUUUGACCAGAGAGGCAUCUGGUGAAAACUAUUUAACUUUAUCAAAAGUUAG